CCUCUGGAGCGUUAUAUCAAACGAAAGUAGCUUCGGCAAAAUCGGACGCGGUGAAUGAGGAA
rnacentral:sRNA from 12 species